UCCAUAAAUUUGCAGCACCAAGCCAGUCACGAAAGUGCUACAUACAAGAGAAGGCCUUCCAGCUGAGACGUUCACCACACUGUUAAGUCCCCAGCCUGAACUGAAUUUCAAGUGAAGUUGGGAGCCGCACAAGGUGUGUGUCAUGGGCAUCUUACUGAUGAUAUAUGCAUCACUUUCUCUUUUGCUACUUGGGUCACUAGGAAACCUAACAGCGUUAGCAUCUGGAGUUGUAACAAGCCACAACCCCGAAGGGAAUUGGGCGCAUCCAUCACUUGCCAUGCUUGAUGGUUGCCUGAAGACAUGCGGCGAUCUGAGCUUCGACUACCCCUUUGGCAUUGGAUCCAGGUGCUCCCGGGGGCCUGAUUUCAAUCUCACUUGCGACGACACAGCUCAGUCCCCCAGACUUUUCUUGCGUGACGGCAUCACCGAAGUAAUUGACAACAUCGUCGUUGCUAGCGAUGGAGAUUACUACGACAAUGAUUAUGGAAUCAUUACCUCCUUUUGGCAUACUAUCCCCAUGAAGUCUGGUGUCCAUGUCUACUACUUGUCUUUCCAACCGCCUGGUAGAUCCUUCAGCCGUGGGGAAACCAUUCUGAACAUCACUGGUUGCGAUCUGGAUGUGUAUUGGGUCAACAAUAACACACACAGAACAACAUGGGUCUGUGGAACUGUGUGUCCGGACCAAGCAAUCACAGAGACCAUGUCGAGGCUCAACUGCAGUGGCAUCGGAUGUUGCAGUUUUCCUGUCACAGGUCUGCUUCCUGAUGCUUUUCAGCUCAAAUUUGUCCACCACCACAACAAAACUAGCACCGCAACACCCUCUAACCAGACCUCUAUGCUGUGGGACAGAAUCAGCAUAAGUGACGAUGAGACCGCAGUUUGGUGGAACAUAGUUGGUCAACCCAACUGUGCUAGCACCGUGCAAAACAGGUCAACGUAUGCCUGUAUCAGCAGGCAUUCAUUGUGCCGCGAUGAAAGUGUGACAUCAAACAACGGCUACAACUGCAUCUGUAAUGCUGGCUAUGCAGGCAGCCCCUUCCUUCAAGAUGGCUGUUCCAGAGAUGAAGGGUAUAAUCCAAUUCCGAGCAGAGCUAAUUGUACCCGUUGGUGUGGUAACAUUAGUGUGCCAUACCCAUUCGGCUUAGAAGAGGGUUGCUUUGCCAGGGAACAAUUCCAACUUAACUGUGCAAAUAUGGCAUCAUCAACUGUCCUCAUGUUUGAGUUUGACCAGGUAAUGAGCCUGAAUGUUGACGAAGGGACCAUUAAGUCCAUCGGGUCUGACCAACAAGGUGCAUCAUUUUACCACAUAUUUAGCAGGCGUGCUCUUUUUGUUGGAUAUGGCUACUUCUAUUCAAUGCAGUGGGUUGCAGCUAAUCUAAGUUGCAUAGAGGCCCAACAGAAUAUAUCUGGUUAUGCUUGUGUAAGCACCAACAGCAAGUGUGUAGCAGUAGAGGCUAAAAUUGACUAUGGUGAAUUGAGCUAUAUUGGGUACCGCUGUAAAUGCUCAGAUGGCUUCCGAGGAAAUCCAUACACCCAAAGUGGUUGUCAAGGUGUCCCUCCCUCAGCUAAGAGCUCUUAGCAGUUAAAUUUAAUAGCUUUCAUGCUGUGUAUGUUGUCCAAGUGGUUAUUACGUUGUGAAGAAUGUCAUAUGCAUAUGUCAUCUUCUUUACUUUUGAUAAGAAUAAGUAUAUGGCUAAAUGUCAUCUUAUUAAUGCCUCUGGUAGAUCUCAUCAGCAGGCCAUGCCAUAUUAAGUUUUUUUCUCUCUAGUUAAGUCAAAUGCAUUACUCUUGUUACUUUUUUUUAGAAAAGGAUUACUCUUGUUACUUAUAGAGCAUAUUUUGACAUUGCACAAAGACUAAGGUGGUAAUAAAAUUGUAAGGAAAAUAAAAUACACAAUGGAUCCCUAAACUUGAAACAUAAUUUUAAUAAACCUGAAAUUCAUGUCACUUAGGUCAUGCUCACUUUUAAUGCAGCUAAACGCCAACUUGACACUGGAAUAACUGUACUAUAGUCAUGGUUUGUUAUUGUGUGACUGUAAAUUGCUUAAAUUGAUGAGCCACCUAGUUUUUGAAUAACGAAAUGAUCAUUAGUUUCCCUUUAAAGCACAUUAUGCAGAACCAAUAGUUUUGGAAAUACACUGGAAGUCUGUAUUAUAUCAAUAACAUUAACUAUUUAUAUAUCACUAAAGAAACGUGAUGCCACUAUUAGCUAUUACAUUUGUUUUUCUGCACCCGUUAUUCGUUAUUAGUUAUUACAGUUUUUUCACCCUCUACCCCAGUUUAAACGCUUUGGAAGAGGUAAAGUGAUCGUAGUAUAUCAUUUUGACAAGGUAUAUUCUCGUUAAAUCAUUUUUACAUCUGUGCUUUCUUUAUUUGUGAACAUGGUGAGUUGAUGUGGACACAUAGAGAGAAAAAGAGUGAGUACAUCUCAACUUUCCCAAGAGAGUUGUACACAAAUAUUAGGUGUGUGCUAAUUUUAAAAACAUAUGGUGCCUUGAACAUACACCCAAAACUGCUUCUCUAGUUUCUGUCUGAUUAGUACCAUUUCUGUAGGUUUCUUUUAUUGGAUAACAUGCUGUAUUCCAUGUUAACUGGAUGAUCUAUUGCGUUCUAUGUUAUGUAAUAUACUAAUAUGUAUACCCUAUAUUUGUUUAUUGGCGCAACUUAGCAAGAUCUUGUUAAUUUCAGAUAUUGAUGAAUGCCUUCAACCAAACAUUUGUAAGGGGAUCUGCCAUAAUAUUGAAGGAAGCUUCUAUUGUACUGAAUGUCCUCACAAGACUGAGUACGAUCUACACAAAAUGCAGUGUACAACAACGAAACAACAUACUCUGCUUUCAGGUAUUAUCAUUGGGUUAUCUGGUGGCUUCGGCAUUCUAGCUCUGAGUUUUGGUACAGUAUUUCUCAUUCGUGUAUGGAAAAGAAAUAUUCAGCAACAACUACGGAAGAAUUAUUUUCGGAAGAACCAAGGUCUUCUACUAGAAACAUUGAUAUCAUCUGAUGAAAGUGCAAAUGACAAAACAAAGAUUUUCUCGUUAGAAGAGCUAGAAAAGGCAACAGACAACUUUGAUAGGGCCCGCAUUAUUGGCUGUGGGGGCCAUGGCAUGGUUUACAAAGGCAUGUUAUCUGAUCAACGUGUAGUUGC